AGACGGACUUAGUGAUCCGGUGGUUCCGCAUGGAAGGGCCAUCGCUCAACGGAUAAAAGCUACCCCGGGGAUAACAGGCUUAUCUCCCCCAAGAGUUCACAUCGACGGGGAGGUUUGGCACCUCGAUGUCGGCUCAUCGCAUCCUGGGGCUGUAGUCGGUCCCAAGGGUUGGGCUGUUCGCCCAUUAAAGCGGUACGCGAGCUGGGUUCAGAACGUCGUGAGACAGUUCGGUCCCUAUCCGUCGUGGGCGUAGGAAAUUUGAGAGGAGCUGUCCUUAGUACGAGAGGACCGGGAUGGACAUACCUCUGGUGUACCAGUUGUCGUGCCAACGGCAUAGCUGGGUAGCUAUGUGUGGACGGGAUAAGUGCUGAAAGCAUCUAAGCAUGAAGCCCCCCUCAAGAUGAGAUUUCCCAACUUCGGUUAUAAGAUCCCUCAAAGAUGAUGAGGUUAAUAGGUUCGAGGUGGAAGCAUGGUGACAUGUGGAGCUGACGAAUACUAAUCGAUCGAAGACUUAAUCAAAA
rnacentral:rRNA from 1 species